UGGGAUAAUAGUGCUCGUGCUCUGUUUCCACUCUCACUGCCCGUUUAGGUGACAGAAAGGUCAAAGUGCAACUGUUCUUCUCAUCCCAGACUAUUUUAAAGGCCUCAGAAGAGAGAUUUCUCCAUUUCUCACUUUCUGGGUGUUGCUUGUGGGAGAGAUGCCAGCCAGUAGCCUAUCCUUCACCCCUCGGUGGAUCAAAACAGACCUUAUGUGAUUCAGCCUGUAGUUCACUUUGAAGUUUGAAUCAACAUUAUGAAAGCAUUGAUAAUACACAGAUGGGUAUUACUGAAACUGAAAAUGCGGAUAAAAAUUUCAAGGAAUGGAGGAAGUAAAAGUC
rnacentral:lncRNA from 1 species